rnacentral:rRNA from 1 species
AGAGUUUGAUCCUGGCUCAGAUUGAACGCUGGCGGCAUGCUUUACACAUGCAAGUCGAACGGCAGCACGGGCUUCGGCCUGGUGGCGAGUGGCGAACGGGUGAGUAAUGCGUCGGAACGCGCCGAGUAGUGGGGGAUAACGCAGCGAAAGCUGUGCUAAUACCGCAUACGUACUGAGGUAGAAAGUGGGGGACCUUCGGGCCUCACGCUAUUCGAGCGGCCGACGUCUGAUUAGCUAGUUGGUGGGGUAAAGGCUCACCAAGGCGACGAUCAGUAGCGGGUCUGAGAGGAUGAUCCGCCGCACUGGGACUGAGACACGGCCCAGACUCCUACGGGAGGCGGCAGUGGGGAAUUUUGGACAAUGGGCGCAAGCCUGAUCCAGCCAUGCCGCGUGUCUGAAGAAGGCCUUCGGGUUGUAAAGGACUUUUGUCCGGGAGCAAAGCCUACUUGUU